rnacentral:rRNA from 1 species
AUUGAACGCUGGCGGCAUGCUUUACACAUGCAAGUCGAACGGCAGCGGGGAGGAGCUUGCUUCUCUGCCGGCGAGUGGCGCACGGGUGAGUAAUACAUCGGAACGUGUCGAGAAGAGGGGGAUAACCACCCGAAAGGGUGGCUACUACCGCAUAAAUUCUGAGGCAGAAAGCUGGGGACCUAGGAAUAGGCCUAGCGCUUUUUGAGCGGCCGAUGUCGGAUUAGCUAGUUGGUGAGGUAAAGGCUCACCAAGGCGAAGAUCUGUAGCGGGUCUGAGAGGAUGGUCGGCCACACUGGGAGUGAGACACGGCCCAGACUCCUACGGGAGGCAGCAGUGGGGAAUGUUGGACAAUAGGGGCAACCCUGAUCCAACCAUGCCGAGUGUAUGAAGAAGGCCUUAGGGUUGUAAAGUACUUUUGUUAGGGAAGAAAAGUCAGCGGUGAAUAAUGGCUGAUACUGACGGUACCUAGAGAAUAAGCACCGGCUAACUACGUG